GGGCCUGUAGCUCAGUUGGUAGAGCAGUUGACUCUUAAUCAAUUGGCCGACAGUUCGAGUCUGUCCAGGCCCACCA
rnacentral:tRNA from 1 species